rnacentral:lncRNA from 1 species
GUUUUUCCGGGCACGCCGACAAAUCCGUCGUAUACAAAGAAAUUUUUUCUGUAUACGAAGCGAUAGCUAUAUCCGUACUUGUAAUCAUACAAAAUUACAACUAGUAGUAUAGAGCUGCUAAACUGAAAAAAUAUAUAUAAAUAAUAUCAGGUUUUCUAUACAUACAUAGUCUCCAGAUAUAUAACACUUGCUCCAGCGAGGAUCUAACAUCAGCAUAUACAAGAACCAAAAACCAACACUACCUGUAGUCAACAUCCCCACUCUAGGAAUCAGCCUUCCCCACGGCGCAGGCCGGACUACCUACGGGUAGCUUUCACAGGAUUUGGUUACUGGUGACAUAUUGUACCUUUUUGACAUUACUAGAAUAGUAAACAUUGACAUCUUUACUAUUUACAUUGUGGACAUUGGGUUAGUUGCAUACUUAUGCAUUUACAUAUUGGAUACUCUUGUGCACAUACUUGUAGUAGUUGCUUUAUUACUUAUGCAAAUCCAUGCUAAGUAGAGAUCAUGUGGUAGAUUAUUACUGAUGAAAGUAGUGACUUCGUGCUAUAUUGAGCUUUCAUUUCAGUGAGUUAUUUGUUCAUAUUAUUCUUACUUGCCUUACUUACCCUACUUGCUUAGUUUUGGGCCUAGUGGUGCAUUUUACUGAAGUCAGUAAUUGUCACGCCCGGGUACCAGCGGAAGCAUAUUCGGUACGUGCACAGAUCCGCCAUACACCUGCAGUAUAUAAGGCGUCUACAAGAAAGCAAGUCGAUAGGAAAAAAAAAUGAAAAAAUUCUAUCCUGAUAUCAGAGCAAAGUAUAAGUUCCAAAUACUAUCAACAGAGGAACAAAAAGUAACCAAUCCAAAAAUUCCACAUCAUGGAUAAGUAUAACAACUAUAAUUUCAGGUUCCAGAACUCAUAUACAUCACAGGGUACACAAAACAUCUGUACAAUGGUAGUCUCUCUAUACACUGGACAUCACCCUCGGCAGUAGCCCGAGUAGCAAGGCGAUCGACUAGCAAGCCCAUAGCAAUGUCUAGUUAGACGCGACUCCCUUGCCACGAUCCCUAGCCUCUCCUGUAGAUGGCUCUGUAAAAACAACAAUAAAAUGGGCGUGAGAACUAUUAACAAUAGUUCCCAGUGGGUAAGCCGCCAGCUUCAGCGAAUUACACCACUAGACUCAUGAUGUACUAAAUAAAAGUAAAUGCGAUAAUUGCAUGAUAUCUAUAUGCAAUGCUAGCAGGCAAUAGGCAUGUAAUCAACAUGUAAUCAUGAUUUCUGCAGUAAUGAAUCAACUGAAUAAUAGAAGCAUAGCAACUACUAUAAACAUGAACAUAAACAGGAAUGCGUAAGUAAAUACUGUACACUAUAACUGAUGAGCAUUCAUUACUGUUCUUAUCAUUUAGUACUUUCAUUUCAUUCAUAAGGACCUACCCAAGGCAGUCCAACUUGCGCCGCGCCUAAUGGCCCCGUGGUAGUAUACACUCCUCACGGCAAUCCACUUCGGCACCCAAUCCCGCACGGGCGAGCAACUGUCGCGUAGGCCAACUCCGGAGUGCCGGCUUGUAGGGAGCUACCCUCACAAGCGUGUGCGAAUGAGCACGAUGGCAAGCAAGCAAAGUCCACAGUCCAACAUGUCUCAAAUAUCACAUUUUAGCUCACAAUAUUCUCGCUCUCGAUCCUUUGAUCGGAAUUUCAAUAUAACCAAUAUUGAAAUCAACUAGUAUCCACUAGAUUAAUAAACAUGUGAGAGUAAUGCUAAUUUAUAUAUGGCAUUAGAAACUUUCCACUAUUAUGGCACUAUCAACAUAGUCACAUGGCAUGUCAUUGUUCUCUACUUUAUAAUCAAUAAAAUCACGAGAAUAUCAUUGUUCUCUACUUUACAAAAGCAUAAUUAUCAUGUCCAUUAGUUAUUCAACUUAACUACAUAUAAACAUAAACAUGAGCAUAAAUACAAUUAUGCAUGAGUUCUUUCUACUUCAUAGAGGUUCUAUUUCUAAUAUAUCAAUGUUAUGGCAAAGAGAUUUCAAAUCCAUUUAGUAACCACAUAGUGACAAUAACGCACGACUAUAUCAAUUCUAUAGUUACAUGUAGAAUAUAGGGGAGCUUCACUUGCUCUGGUUAGGUCAAACCCACAUAUUAUUAGGCUCCAAUCAAUCCAAAGGAAAUCCCAAAAUCAGCUCCACAAGGUCUCAACUCUGCUGAAAAACAAGGCACGAAAGUGUCAUCAUUACUACAAUUGAAAUGUCCGAUCUCGGCACAAUUCGCACUUAGUACAAAGUAGUAACUUGAAUCCCUGCUUUGGGGCUAGUUUAAUACCUCAAGAUAAGUCUCCAAGAGCUCUCACAAGUCAACUAAAGACGAUCCAAGGCUCGAUCGCACUCUCGCUACGAACAACAUUGAAACGGCAUCAAAACGCUCAAAUAUAAAUUAAUAUCAUCGACAUCUUGCAAAAUCAGCUUUACAAGCGAAAUUU